GUGAGUCAUCGAAUCUUUGAACGCACCUUGCGCUCCUUGGUAUUCCGAGGAGCAUGCCUGUUUGAGUGUCAUUAAAUUCUCAAUCUUAACAACUUUGUGUUGUCUAGAUUGGAAGUGGGGGUCUUUUGUGUGGAAUUCAGUUCCUCACUCCCCUUAAAUGCAUUAGCUGGAAUGCCUCUGCAUAUCUGACUAUCAGUGUGAUAAUUAUCUAUACUGUAGUUGUUGCACGAGGGUAUCUGCUUCAUUAAUCGUCGCAAGACAAUUAUUGACCAUCUUGACCUCAAAUCAGGUAGGACUACCCGCUGAACUUAAGCAUAUCAAUAAGCGGAGGA
rnacentral:misc_RNA from 1 species